AAUCCUACGGGAGGCAGCAGUGAGGAAUAUUGGUCAAUGGGCGGAAGCCUGAACCAGCCAAGUCGCGUGAGGGAGUAAGGCCCUACGGGUCGUAAACCUCUUUUGCCGGGGAGCAGUGCCCAGCUCGUGAGCUGGGAGGGAGCGUACCCGGAGAAAAAGCAUCGGCUAACUCCGUGCCAGCAGCCGCGGUAAUACGUAGGGAGCAAGCGUUGUCCGGAAUUACUGGGUGUAAAGGGAGCGUAGGCGGGGA
rnacentral:rRNA from 1 species